UGGGUACCAAAAAAGAGAAAGCAUUCAAAAGAAGAAAUAAAAGAUAAAAAAGAAAAUUCGAAAAAAAAAAAAGAUUCAUUAGCAAAAAAUAAAAACAAUAAAUUAAGUAGACACCAUAAUUAUAAAAGCAGUGAUAAUGAUGAGAGUUGUUCCAGUGACAGUCUUAAAAGGAAUACUAGUCGAAGUGUUUCUAAAAACUCGACCAUUUUAGAUAAAAAAAAAAAAAAAUUAAAAAAUUGUCAUAAAAAAAGGAAAACAAGAAAAGAACAGCCUUCACAUAGUUUAACAUCAGAAAGUGGAAGUGAAAACGAGAGUAAGUGUAAUAAUACAUCCAAACGCUCUGAUGUGACACCAAAGAAACAAUCAACAUCUGGUUAUUAUUCUGCAGCUGAUGAUAUUAUUUUAAAUAAAAACAAAAAGGAUGAUUCUAAAAAUGAUCAGACUGUGGUGUGUAAUAAAACCGACUUAGAGAACAGAGCUAUUUUCAGCAAUGACAGAAAAAGCAAUGACAGAAAAAGCCGUGGAGAUAAAAAAAAAACAAGUGACGUAGAAAAAGACAGUCAAAGUAGGAGUGGUAGUACAAACAGAAAAAAUAACACAACUAGAACUGAUAGCCAAAACGAUGAUGAUAGUGGUAGCAUAGGUAGCCACAAUGAUACUCUAAAUGAAAAAAAACGAAAAAUAAAAAAUAAAGACAUCACAACCGUCUCUAAUUAUGACAAAAAAAAAAAACAUAAUAUAUCUGUUAAAAAUAAACAACUUCAACAAAAAAUCGACGAAAAAGAAAAAGAUCAUUCACUAUGUAGUAGUACUAUUUUAAAACAUAAUGAAAAAAAUAAAAGCAGCGGUGAUAAUGAUGAUGAUGGUGAUGAUGAUGAAAAAGAGGUAGAGAAACAUAGUUUUAGUAAAGAAAAAAAACAAAACAAAAAUAAGACUCAUAAGCAUCGAAAAGGUAGUAGUGAAAGCAUACUAUCUGAUGACAGUCAUAAACUGUUGAGAGAAAACAAACAUGAACAUCAGGAUAAUGUCAAACAUCAAGGAAUAAGUAUAGAAAAACAAAAACCAUUACAAGAAUUUACCGAAGAAGAUGAAGAAAAAGAAGAAGAAAAAAAAAAAAUACAUAACAGAAGCAAAAAUAAAAGCAUACAAGACAAAAGAACACAUAAAGAUAAACAGUCGAGUAAAAAAAAAAACAGACAUAGUAGUUGUAAUAAAGAAGAUAAUAAAAAAAAUACACGUAGCGAUAGUGGUAGUAUAGGUAGUAGUAGCGGUAAUAGUAGUAUUAGUGGUAGUAAUAGUAGUGGUAGCAUACGUAGAAGUAGUGAUAUCAUUCGCAGUAGAAUAAGCAGCAUACGUAGUAGUAGUAGUAGUAAUCGUAGUAAUCUUAGCAAUGAUGGCAUACGUAGCAGAAGUAGUAGCAUAUCUAACAAUAGCAACAGACGUGAUAAUGGUAGAAAUAAUAUCAGUCGCAGAUACAGAGGCAGAGACAGACACAGAGACAGACACAGACGUAAAAGCAUAUGUAGAAGUAACAAUAGUAGAAGCAGUAGUAGUAGUAAGUAUAACAACUUAAGAAACGAGGAUAAACAUAGAAUACAUAAACACAAAUCACAUAAGCAUGAUUAUAAAAUAGAUAAAAAAAAAAGAGAUGCACACAGACAUGAAAAAGAGAAGCAACGACAAAACAGAGAUGAGUGUAUUAAUAGGGAAAAAAAUAAAUAUAACUCACAUUAUAAUGGUAAUUAUAAAUAUGAUAAAUAUGAUAAAUAUGAUAAAUAUGAUAAAUAUGAUAGAUAUAGUAACGCACAUCAGGUUAGUGGUAGCAUGCAUGAUGGUAGUGAUAGAAACAGACACCACAAUAGUAAUGCGCAUCGCUAUGCUAAUAAUGCAUACCGUUAUCAUGAUAAUAGACAUUGUUAUGGACAAACUUCUUCACAUUAUUAUCCCAAAGAAAAACACAAUAAAAUGUCGUAUGGUAAGAAUUUGUAUGAAUAUAACAACAAUUACACAUAUAAUAAUUACAAUAAUAGUAGGAGGCCUUACAGAAAAACACAUUUAAAAGACAAUUGUUACUACGAAACUGUUGAAGAAAUAAAAAAAAAAAAUGGAUUAUAUAAUAACGACAAACAAAUAUGUGAAGAUGUGAAGGUAGCACAUAAAAACGUAACAGAUACAAAUCAGAAAGACAAAACAGAUAAAAAUGACAAAAAAGAAGAUAAAGACACAGCUAAUUCACUAAAUAUCGAAAUGAUAAAUAAAAAAGUUCAAGAAAAAUUAGAAGAAGAAAAGGUGAUGCAGUCAUUAGGUUUACCUCUGGGGUUUAUUUGACCACUCGGUUUAUUUGUUUAUUUGUUUAUUUUUUAUUUGUUUAUUUUUUAUUUGUUUAUUUUUUAUUUGUUUAUUUUU
ensembl:lncRNA